GGAAUGCUUAAUAUCCAAGCAGCUUGGGCUCUGUUGUGCUAGAUGCUGCAUUAAGAAAAUAAGACUCUGUACCCAGAGAUUUUUGCAAGCAGUGUAUGGGCCUUUGACAUGAAAAUAUAGCACCUUUAACAUUUGGAAAAGAGGAUGCCUUUCACGUUCCUGUGCACUGAAGUUCUCUAUCUGCCUAGUCACUGAGAUGUGGUCCUGGUCAAGAGGAGCUACCCUUGCGAUCGUGAGCAGCAGAUUUCCAAGUGCUUCACAAAAGGAGGUGAAUAUCAGUUCCAGAGGUGGGCGAACCGAGGCGUAGGGAGCGGCU